rnacentral:rRNA from 1 species
UACGUAGGGUGCGAGCGUUAAUCGGAAUUACUGGGCGUAAAGCGUGCGCAGGCGGUUUUGUAAGACAGAUGUGAAAUCCCCCGGGCUUAACCUGGGAACUGCGUUUGUGACUGCAAGGCUAGAGUACGGCAGAGGGGGGUGGAAUUCCACGUGUAGCAGUGAAAUGCGUAGAGAUGUGGAGGAACACCGAUGGCGAAGGCAGCCCCCUGGGCCUGUACUGACGCUCAUGCACGAAAGCGUGGGGAGCAAACAGGAUUAGAUACCCCCGUAGU